rnacentral:rRNA from 1 species
AGUGAACGCUGGCGGUAGGCCUAACACAUGCAAGUCGAACGGCAGCACAGUAAGAGCUUGCUCUUACGGGUGGCGAGUGGCGGACGGGUGAGGAAUACAUCGGAAUCUACUUUUUCGUGGGGGCUAACGUAGGGAAACUUACGCUAAUACCGCAUACGACCUACGGGUGAAAGCAGGGGAUCUUCGGACCUUGCGCGAUCGAAUGAGCCGAUGUCGGAUUAGCUAGUUGGCGGGGUAACGGCCCACCAAGGCGACGAUCCGUAGCUGGUCUGAGAGGAUGAUCAGCCACACUGGAACUGAGACACGGUCCAGACUCCUACGGGAGGCAGCAUUGGGGAAUAUUGGACAAUGGGCGCAAGCCUGAUCCAGCCAUACCGCGUGGGUGAAGAAGGCCUUCGGGUUGUAAAGCCCUUUUGUUGGGAAAGAAAAGCAGCAGGUUAAUACCCCGCUGUCCUGACGGUACCCAAAGAAUAAGCACCGGCUAACUUCGUG